rnacentral:rRNA from 1 species
AUUGAACGCUGGCGGCAGGCCUAACACAUGCAAGUCGAGCGAGCGGCGGACGGGUGAGUAAUGUAUGGGGACUGCCCGAUCGAGGGGGAUAACUACUGGAAACGGUAGCUAAUACCGCAUACUAUCGGCUACACCAUAUGGGAUUAGCUUGUAGGUGAGGUAAUGGCUCACCUAGGCGACGAUCCCUAGCUGGUCUGAGAGGAUGAUACGCCACACUGGGACUGAGACACGGCCCAGACUCCUACGGAGGCAGCAGUGGGGAAUAUUGCACAAUGGGCGAAAGCCUGAUGCAGCCAUGACGCGUGUAUGAAGAAGGCCCUAGGGUUGUAAAGUACUUUCAGUCGGGAGGCGUGAACGAAAGAAGAAGCACCGGCUAACUCCGUGCCAGCAGCCGCGGUAAUAG